rnacentral:rRNA from 1 species
UACGAAGGGGGCUAGCGUUGCUCGGAAUCACUGGGCGUAAAGGGUGCGUAGGCGGGUCUUUAAGUCAGGGGUGAAAUCCUGGAGCUCAACUCCAGAACUGCCUUUGAUACUGAAGAUCUUGAGUUCGGGAGAGGUGAGUGGAACUGCGAGUGUAGAGGUGAAAUUCGUAGAUAUUCGCAAGAACACCAGUGGCGAAGGCGGCUCACUGGCCCGAUACUGACGCUGAUGCACGAAGGCGUGGGGAGCGAACAGG